UACGUAGGCAGCAAGCGUUGUUCGGAGUUACUGGGCGUAAAGGGUGCGUAGGUGGCUCUAUAAGUAUGGUGUGAAAUCUCCCGGCUUAACUGGGAGGGUGCGCCGUAGACUGUGGGGGCUAGAGUGUGGGGAGAGGAAAAGUGGCAUUCCUGGUGUAGCGGUGAAAUGCGUAGAUAUCAGGAGGAACACCGGUGGUGUAAACGGCUUUUCUGGACCAUAACUGACACUGAGGCACGAAAGCGUGGGUAGCAAACAGG
rnacentral:rRNA from 1 species